UUUUAAACUAUUUUUCAAUAUUUCUCUCCUAAAAUAUAUUAUUACUUUUCCUCUCUCACUUCUCACGAGACAUACUAACACAAGCAAACUCAACUCCCAACGUAUUCCCUUCUUGCAGACAUCAUUCAAAGCAACGAUCCCCACCACCACCGGUGUUUCUUCUUCCUUUCCAUCCUUUUAGUUGCAAGUGAUAUGGAUAAUAAAGAAUGGAAGGAGACGUCAAGCUUGAAGGAUCGAAGCCGAAUCUUGAAAUGUUGCGUUCCAUAUUUCAACAAUGAAACAAAUUUAGAAGCGCCGAGAUCGAAACGGGAUUCAACAAGUAGUGCUGGAUUUACAAGCACUUUCCUAGGAUCUAUAAGUGGUGCGAUAGUGGAACGGUUCCUACACAUCUUCCAAGAGCAUGUAGGUGGACUGCAAAACACGUCGUUGAAGAUGGACCGAUGACAUAUUAGCGAAGACUUGAUGCUUUGUUGCUCGAGGAUGUAGUGUUUACACCAUAUGAUAAUGAUCGAGCUAAUCAUCCCUUUGUAGCGACUUCAAUGUUCUUCGGAUACCUUUGUUGCGCUAGAAUUUCAUUCCCAUAUCUGCUGGAGCCAUAUCUUCGACAGUUUGGUCAUAUUCAGUGCAUUCCGCGUGACGUUCCUCGGGUGUCAAACAAUAUAGAUUGGGAGUGGCAGAGUAAUAUCAGAGCAUCUAUAUCGGCCUUUCAGAGGCUAUAUCCGUUAGCGACGUUUCCUAGAGAGGUCACUACAGACUACUAUGCAUGGUACAUAAAUGUUUCACAUCUUCUGAUCCUCUCUCCACCUAUUGCUGCUCCACCUUCAGUUCACUUACUAUUGCACAUGAUCCACAUGGUCCAUCAUCUUCUGUACAUAUUGGUCCAUCAUCGACACAAGAUCGUAGAGCAGUUGAGCUUUUACGUAGGGCUAUACAGUUGGUAUCUCCAUAUGGUGAAAUUCAUGACAUAUUAAGUGAGUUAGUUCGCAUGUUCCCGGGCGAUGAUUAGUGAUUUUGUUAUGUAUGAUUGUGUAAUGUAUGAUAAAUAUUGUAUAGUAAAUUUCCAUUUUAAUAUUUUGUGUUA